rnacentral:rRNA from 1 species
GAGUUUGAUCCUGGCUCAGGAUGAACGCUGGCGGCGUGCCUAAUACAUGCAAGUCGAGCGAACAGAUAAGGAGCUUGCUCCUUUGACGUUAGCGGCGGACGGGUGAGUAACACGUGGGUAACCUACCUAUAAGACUGGAAUAACUCCGGGAAACCGGGGCUAAUGCCGGAUAAUAUUUAGAACCGCAUGGUUCUAAAGUGAAAGAUGGUUUUGCUAUCACUUAUAGAUGGACCCGCGCCGUAUUAGCUAGUUGGUGGGGUAAUGGCUUACCAAGGCAACGAUACGUAGCCGACCUGAGAGGGUGAUCGGCCACACUGGAACUGAGACACGGUCCAGACUCCUACGGGAGGCAGCAGUAGGGAAUCUUCCGCAAUGGGCGAAAGCCUGACGGAGCAACGCCGCGUGAGCGAUGGAGGUCUUCGGAUCGUAAAACUCUGUUAUUAGGGAAGAACAAAUGUGUAAGUAACUGUGCACGUCUUGACGGUACCUAAUCAGAAAGCCACGGCUAACUACGUGCCAGCA